rnacentral:tRNA from 1 species
UGGCUCAGAUGGUAAAGAAUUUGCCUGCAAAGCAGGAGACCCAGGUUCAAUCCCUGG